GAUGAACGCUGGCGGCGUGCUUAACACAUGCAAGUCGAACGGAGCUUAGAAGGAAGCUUGCUUUCAUUUAAGCUUAGUGGCGGACGGGUGAGUAACGCGUGAGCAACCUGCCCUCGAGUGGGGAAUAACAUCGAGAAAUCGGUGCUAAUACCGCAUAAUGUCGAGAGACCGCAUGAUCUUUCGACCAAAGGAUUUAUUCGCUUGAGGAUGGGCUCGCGUCCGAUUAGCUAGUUGGUGAGGUAACGGCCCACCAAGGCUUCGAUCGGUAGCCGAACUGAGAGGUUGAUCGGCCACAUUGGGACUGAGACACGGCCCAGACUCCUACGGGAGGCAGCAGUGGGGAAUAUUGGGCAAUGGGCGAAAGCCUGACCCAGCAACGCCGCGUGAAGGAUGAAGGUCUUCGGAUUGUAAACUUCUUUGAUUGGGGAAGAAUAAAAUGAC
rnacentral:rRNA from 1 species